AUCCUGGCUUAGGAUGAACGCUAGCGGCAGGCUUAACACAUGCAAGUCGAGGGGCAUCGGGAGUAGCAAUACUGCCGGCGACCGGCGCAAGGGUGCGUAACGCGUGAGCAACAUGCCCGUAUCAGGGGGAUAAUCCAUGGAAACGUGGUCUAAUACCCCAUAGUAAUUAUGUAAGGCAUCUUAUAUAAUUUAAAGCUUUGGUGGAUACGGAUUGGCUCGCGUGACAUUAGCUAGAUGGUAAGGUAACGGCUUACCAUGGCUACGAUGUCUAGGGGUUCUGAGAGGAAGGUCCCCCCACACUGGAACUGAGACACGGUCCAGACUCCUACGGGAGGCAGCAGUGAGGAAUAUUGGACAAUGGAUGGAAAUCUGAUCCAGCCAUGCCGCGUGCAGGAAAGACGGCCCUAUGGGUUGUAAACUGCUUUUGUAUGGGAGCAAUAAGGGCUACGCGUAGUCCGAUGAGAGUACCAUACGAAUAAGCACCGGCUAACUCCGUGCCAGCCGCAGC
rnacentral:rRNA from 1 species